rnacentral:rRNA from 1 species
NNNAACCUCAGAUCAGGCGAGAUCACCCGCUGAAUUUAAGCAUAUCAAUAAGCGGAGGAAAAGAAACUAACAAGGAUUCCCUUAGUAACGGCGAGCGAAGUGGGAAGAGCUCGAGCCUGAAAUCCCGCAGUCACUGCCAGAGAAUUGUGGCCGGGAGAGGCAGCUAGGCCCUGACAGACGCUGUCGAAGUUGACCUGGAAAGGCACGUCGAAGAGGGUGAGAACCCCGUGUGCGACACCGUUGUCCUGGGCCGCUACUGCUUCGGAGAGUCGGGUUGUUUGGGAAUGCAGCCCAAAGUGGGUGGUAAACUCCAUCUAAAGCUAAAUACUGGCACGAGACCGAUAGCGAACAAGUACCAUGAGGGAAAG